rnacentral:rRNA from 1 species
UGGGGAAUUUUGGACAAUGGGCGAAAGCCUGAUCCAGCAAUGCCGCGUGUGUGAAGAAGGCCUUCGGGUUGUAAAGCACUUUUGUCCAGAAAGAAAUCCUUGGCUCUAAUACAGUCGGGGGAUGACGGUACCGGAAGAAUAAGCACCGGCUAACUACGUGCCAGCAGCCGCGGUAAUACGUAGGGUGCAAGCGUUAAUCGGAAUUACUGGGCGUAAAGCGUGCGCAGGCGGUUUGCUAAGACCGAUGUGAAAUCCCCGGGCUCAACCUGGGAACUGCAUUGGUGACUGGCAGGCUAGAGUAUGGCAGAGGGGGGUAGAAUUCCACGUGUAGCAGUGAAAUGCGUAGAGAUGUGGAGGAAUACCGAUGGCGAAGGCAGCCCCCUGGGCCAAUACUGACGCUCAUGCACGAAAGCGUGGGGAGCAAAACAGGAUUAGAUACCCUGGUAGUCCACGCCCUAAACGAUGUCAACUAGUUGUUGGGGAUUCAUUUCCUUAGUAACGUAGCUAACGCGUGAAGUUGACCGCCUGGGGAGUACGGUCGCAAGAUUAAAA